rnacentral:tRNA from 1 species
GGAGGAUUAGCUCAGCUGGGAGAGCAUCUGCCUUACAAGCAGGAGGUCACAGGUUCGAUCCCUGUAUCCUCCN